rnacentral:rRNA from 1 species
UGCAGAGGUGGCAAGCGUUGUUCGGAAUUACUGGGCGUAAAGGGCGCGUAGGCGGUUCGUUAAGUCCUGUGUGAAAUCCCCCGGCUCAACUGGGGAACUGCACAGGAAACUAGCGGGCUUGAGUUCGGGAGAGGGAAGCGGAAUUCCGGGUGUAGCGGUGAAAUGCGUAGAUAUCAGGAGGAACAUCGGUGGCGAAGGCGGCUCUCUGGACCACAACUGACGCUGAGGCGCGAAAGCUAGGGGAGCAAACAGG